UACAGAGGGGGCAAGCGUUGUUCGGAAUUACUGGGCGUAAAGGGCGCGUAGGCGGCCUUCUAAGUCGAACGUGAAAUCCCUGGGCUCAACCCAGGAACUGCGUCCGAUACUGGAAGGCUUGAAUCCGGGAGAGGGAUGCGGAAUCCAGGUGUAGCGGUGAAAUGCGUAGAUAUCGCUUGGAACGCCGCGGCGAAAGCAGUCUGCUGGGGGUGUGCUGACGCUGAGACACGAAAGCCAGGGGAGCGAACGGG
rnacentral:rRNA from 1 species